AUGCUCUAUUGAGUAAAGAUUUAUCGCCUUAUGAUGAGCCUGCGUUAGAUUAGUUAGUUGGUAGGGUAACGGCCUGCCAAGGCGACGAUCUAUAGCCGGGUUGAGAGACUGGCCGGCCACAUUGGGACUGAGACACGGCCCAGACUCCUACGGGAGGCAGCAGCUAAGAAUCUUCCGCAAUGGACGCAAGUCUGACGGAGCGACGCCGCGUGAACGAUGAAGGCCUUACAGGUUGUAAAGUUCUUUUAUAGAAGACGAAUGUUAUGCGUAGGCAUAACUGACGGUAUUCUAUGAAUAAGGUCCGGCUAACUACGUGCCAGCAGCCGCGGUAAUACGUAGGGACCGAGCGUUGUUCGGAAUUAUUGGGCGUAAAGGGUACGUAGGCGGUCUAAUAAGUCAGAUGUGAAACCCUCGGGCUCAUCCUGAGGCCUGCGUCUGAUACUGUUAGGCUAGAGUUACGGAGAGGAAGUCGGAAUUCCUGGUGUAGGGGUGAAAUCUAUAGAUAUCAGGAAGAACAUCGGUUGCGAAGGCUGACUUCUGGACGUUAACUGACGCUGAGGUACGAAAGUUAGGGUAGCAAACAGGAUUAGAGACCCUGGUAGUCCUAACUGUAAACGUUGUAUACUAGGUGGUGGCGUUUUGAUCGCGUCACUGCCGGAGCUAACGCAUUAAGUAUACCGCCUGGGGAGUAUGCCGGCAACGGUGAAACUCAAAGGAAUUGACGGGGGCCCGCACAAGCAGUGGAGCAUGUUGUUUAAUUCGAUGAUACGCGAGGAACCUUACCAGGUCUUGACAUAUACCUGAAUGUUGUAGAGAUACAUCAGUCUUUCGGGACAGGUAUACAGGUGCUGCAUGGUUGUCGUCAGCUCGUGCCGUGAGGUGUUGGGUUAAGUCCCGCAACGAGCGCAACCCUUAUUCUUUGUUGCUAACGUGUUAUGGCGAGCACUCUAAGGAGACUGCCGGUGACAAACCGGAGGAAGGUGGGGAUGACGUCAAAUCAUCACGGCCCUUAUGACCUGGGCUACAAACGUGCUAC
rnacentral:rRNA from 1 species